rnacentral:rRNA from 1 species
AUGGCUCAGGACGAACGCUGGCGGCGUGCCUAAUACAUGCAAGUCGAACGAACUCUGGUAUUGAUUGGUGCUUGCAUCAUGAUUUACAUUUGAGUGAGUGGCGAACUGGUGAGUAACACGUGGGAAACCUGCCCAGAAGCGGGGGAUAACACCUGGAAACAGAUGCUAAUACCGCAUAACAACUUGGACCGCAUGGUCCGAGUUUGAAAGAUGGCUUCGGCUAUCACUUUUGGAUGGUCCCGCGGCGUAUUAGCUAGAUGGUGAGGUAACGGCUCACCAUGGCAAUGAUACGUAGCCGACCUGAGAGGGUAAUCGGCCACAUUGGGACUGAGACACGGCCCAAACUCCUACGGGAGGCAGCAGUAGGGAAUCUUCCACAAUGGACGAAAGUCUGAUGGAGCAACGCCGCGUGAGUGAAGAAGGGUUUCGGCUCGUAAAACUCUGUUGUUAAAGAAGAACAUAUCUGAGAGUAACUGUUCAGGUAUUGACGGUAUUUAACCAGAAAGCCACGGCUAACUACGUGCCAGCAGCCGCGGUAAUACGUAGGUGGCAAGCGUUGUCCGGAUUUAUUGGGCGUAAAGCGAGCGCAGGCGGUUUUUUAAGUCUGAUGUGAAAGCCUUCGGCUCAACCGAAGAAGUGCAUCGGAAACUGGGAAACUUGAGUGCAGAAGAGGACAGUGGAACUCCAUGUGUAGCGGUGAAAUGCGUAGAUAUAUGGAAGAACACCAGUGGCGAAGGCGGCUGUCUGGUCUGUAACUGACGCUGAGGCUCGA